AUGCUCGCUUCCGCAGCACAUAUACUAAAAAUUGGAAAGAUACACAGAAGAUUAGCAUGGCCCCUGGGUAAGAAUGACACGCAAAUUCGUGUAUUUUCAUAUUUUUUA